rnacentral:ncRNA from 1 species
CAAAGGCUUGGUCCUGACUUUACUAUCAGCUUUAACACGACUUACACAUGCAAGUCUCCGCAGCCCCGUGAGGAUGCCCUCAAUCCUCUGCCCGAGGACGAGGAGCAGGCAUCAGGCACAAUUUUUUAGCCCAAGACGCCUUGCCAUGCCACACCCCCAAGGGAACUCAGCAGUGAUAAACAUUAAGCCAUGAGCAAAAGCUCGACUUAGUUAGUGUUAACAAGGGCCGGUAAAACUCGUGCCAGCCACCGCGGUUAUACGAGAGGCCCCAGUUGAUGGAUACGGCGUAAAGGGUGGUUAAGGAAAAGCAAAAAUUAAAGCCAAAGAGUCUCUUGGCCGUCAUACGCUCCUGAGAAUUCGAAGCCCAAUAUACGAAAGUAGCCUUAAAUAUGGCCCACCUGACCCCACGAAAGCUGAGAAACAAACUGGGAUUAGAUACCCCACUAUGCUCAGCCAUAAACCUAGACGUUUCACUACGCGAACGUCCGCCAGGGUACUACAAGCGUCAGCUUAAAACCCAAAGGACUUGGCGGUGCCUUAGACCCCCCUAGAGGAGCCUGUUCUAGAACCGAUAACCCCCGUUAAACCUCACCACUCCUAGUCAACCCCGCCUAUAUACCGCCGUCGUCAGCUUACCCUGUGAAGGUAUAAUAGUAAGCAAAAUGGAUACAACCCAAAACGUCAGGUCGAGGUGUAGCGCACGGAGUGGGAAGAAAUGGGCUACAUUUUCUAUCACAGAAUAUUACGAACGACACCAUGAAAACUUUAGUGCCCGAAGGAGGAUUUAGUAGUAAAAAGGAAAUAGAGUGUCCUUUUGAACCCGGCUCUGAGGCGCGUACACACCGCCCGUCACUCUCCCCUGUCAACAACAAAAUAACGUAUUUAACACCCCAACACCGACAAGGGGAGGCAAGUCGUAACAUGGUAAGUGUACCGGAAGGUGCACUUGGAUCAAACC